UAGUCUUGACUGAAGAAACAAGAAAGAUGAAUCUUUAUUAGUGAAGCAUGCAGGCCCAACACCCCCGCAAAAUUUACGGAUCAGUAAAACGAUUGAAAAAUUAGUAUAGUAUAACCACGUGUCAAAUGGAGGCAUUUUGUGUAGAAUUUGAAAAGGAUAUUUACUAGAGGAGAACAAGAGAGAGGGAGAAGAAAUGGAGACUGAGACCCAUACUGACCAACUUUAGUACUGGAAAGAGUUUCAGUCUUUGGUAGCUAAAUUAUUGUUCCUUGCAGAUUCCUAUCUCAUUCUACCAUCCUUCCCAUUGAGAAUAAAGUUAAAGAUUAUGUAACUGAUCUCUGCUCGGACAGUAUUUGAUGAGAGUUUGUUGGGUGUGGUCACCGAAGAACUUCAGGAUUUAUUAAGCGGUUUGCUCAAUGCCAUAUAUGGUGACAUUAGUAAGGAGUGGUCUGGUAGGAUAUUACAUCACAUAUACAAUUGCUAUGGACGAUUACGGUAUUACAUGUACAUAAUCAGCGCUGGUUGAUUUGCGUGAGUGCUUGCGUCACGUUGAUUUGAGAGAAGAGCUCAUGGAAUCAUUAACUAAAGUUUAUGAGAGUAGGUUACUCUACCAUGGUGCUAAUACAUCUGAUAUCAUUACCCAGUACAUCUCUUCAGUUCAUAGUCUAAAGCUACUGGACCCAACUGGUGUUGUAUUGGAAAGAGUAUGUGAACCAGUCAAAGCGUAUCUGAGGACUCGAAGUGAUACAGUGACAUGAUUAUUGCCAGUUUGAUUGAUGAUAGUAACAACGACCUUUCGGUGGUACAUGUACAUGUAUUUGGUCAUGUGAUGGUCACAUGACUUGUGCUGUAGGAGCUGGUGAAAGGUGAGACUGUGUUGCUUGAUCUUUCUGAUGAGUAUGAUGAUCCUGAUCAGGACUUUGAGGCUUGGGAACCAGAUCCAGUAGAUGCCGACCCUACAACAACAGCAGGGAAGUGAACAAAACAAAACGAAGAAAACACUGGACAA
rnacentral:misc_RNA from 1 species